GUCUACGGCCAUACCACACUGAAUGUGCCUGAUCUUGUCUGAUCUUGGAAGCUAAGCAGGGUUGGGACUGGUUAGUGCUGGGAUGGGAGAAAUAUAAUGUCAGAAAUAUGUACAAUAGUUU
rnacentral:rRNA from 1 species